UCUUUAAAAAAAAAAAAAUAAAUAAAAUUGGAAUGAUACAGAGAAGAUUAGCAUGGCCCCUGCGCAAGGAUGACACACAAAUUCGUGGAGCGUUCCAUAUUUUU